rnacentral:rRNA from 1 species
GACGAACGCUGGCGGCGUGCUUAACACAUGCAAGUCGAACGGAAAGGCCCUGCUUUUGUGGGGUGCUCGAGUGGCGAACGGGUGAGUAACACGUGAGUAACCUGCCCUUGACUUUGGGAUAACUUCAGGAAACUGGGGCUAAUACCGGAUAGGAGCUCCUGCUGCAUGGUGGGGGUUGGAAAGUUUCGGCGGUUGGGGAUGGACUCGCGGCUUAUCAGCUUGUUGGUGGGGUAGUGGCUUACCAAGGCUUUGACGGGUAGCCGGCCUGAGAGGGUGACCGGGCACAUGGGGACUGAGGGACGGACCAGACUGGUACGGUAGGCAGCAGUGGGGAAUAUGGCACAAUGGGCGGAAGUCUGAUGCAGCAACGCCGGGUGCGGGAUGACGGCCUUCGGGUUGUAAACCGCUUUCGCCUGUGACGAAGCGUGAGUGACGGUAAUGGGUAAAUAAGCACCGGCUAACUACGUG